rnacentral:rRNA from 1 species
UACGUAGGAGGCAAGCGUUGUCCGGAAUCAUUGGGCGUAAAGAGCGUGUAGGCGGUUCGGUAAGUCGGCUGUGAAAGUCCAGGGCUCAACCCUGGGAUGCCGGUCGAUACUGCCGGACUAGAGUUCGGAAGAGGCGAGUGGAAUUCCCGGUGUAGCGGUGAAAUGCGCAGAUAUCGGGAGGAACACCUAUGGCGAAGGCAGCUCGCUGGGACGUUACUGACGCUGAGACGCGAAAGCGUGGGGAGCAAACAGG